rnacentral:lncRNA from 1 species
ACUCUGAGGCGUGGCAGAGACUGGGAAGGCAUUUCUCCUGCCAUUCUGGUGACCUGCAAAGGAGUCUUACUAUAUCGCUCCUGCUGUUCUCCACCUCCGGGGAUCAAACUGCCCACGUCAGCUUCCGGAAUCGAAGGGAAGAUAGAUGUGUGUGUGCUACCCACCUGGCAAGCCCUAAAGUUGAGAUGUGGAAACGUGGGUGCACUGAAUGUCUGUUCUACUAAAGAGUGUUGUUCUUCUGACCUUGGGAUGAAUCGCUUCCCUUCUUGGGCCUGUUUAUUCAAGUUAAUGUGAAAUAAUCCCCUUUAACAUUAGUUAUCUUUCCUA